AGUAAACGCUGGCGGCGUGCUUAACACAUGCAAGUCGAACGCGGACGGAUUAUGGCUUGCUAUAAUCGUUAGAGUAGUAGCUAGCGGGUGUGUAAUGUAUAGGUAAUUUGCCUUUUACAAAGGAAUAAAAAACGGAAUAGUUUGAUAAUACCUUAUACUCCUUAUUAACAUAAGUUAAUAAGGGAAAGAUUUAUUGGUAAGAGAUUAGCCUGUAUUGUAUCAGUUAGUUGGUUGGGUAAUGGCUUACCAAGACUAUGACACAUAACUGGUUAGGGAGGAUGAGCAGUCACACUGGAACUGAGAAGCAGUACAGACUCUUACGGGAGGCAGGAGUGGGGAAUAUUGCAACAUGGAGGGAAGUAUGAAGCAGCAACGCAGCGUAGAGGAUGACAUAUUUCGAUGCGUAAACUCAUUUUAUAUGAGAAGAUAAUGACGGUAUUAUAUGAAUAAGCACCGGCUAACUCCGUGCCAGCCGCCGCUGUAAAAC
rnacentral:rRNA from 1 species